rfam:Metarhizium anisopliae BRIP 53293 unplaced genomic scaffold Scaffold_13, whole genome shotgun sequence.
UCCUCCGUGGCGCAAUUGGCUAGCGCGUCUGACUGUUAAUCAGGAGGUGAGUUAGAGAACCGAUAACUUGUGAUAUGUGGAAAUAUUUGCUAAUAGAUUAUAAAAGGUUGAAAGUUCGAGCCUUUCCGGGGGAG